GAGCUUAGUCAGUAGAGCAUGAGACUCUUAAUCUAAGGGUCAUGGGUUUGAGCCCCAUGUUGGGCA